GACGAACGCUGGCGGCGUGCUUAACACAUGCAAGUCGAACGGAAAGGCCCUGCUUUUGUGGGGUGCUCGAGUGGCGAACGGGUGAGUAACACGUGAGUAACCUGCCCUUGACUUUGGGAUAACUUCAGGAAACUGGGGCUAAUACCGGAUAGGAGCUCCUGCUGCAUGGUGGGGGUUGGAAAGUUUCGGCGGUUGGGGAUGGACUCGCGGCUUAUCAGCUUGUUGGUGGGGUAGUGGCUUACCAAGGCUUUGACGGGUAGCCGGCCUGAGAGGGUGACCGGCCACAUUGGGACUGAGAUACGGCCCAGACUCCUACGGGAGGCAGCAGUGGGGAAUAUUGCACAAUGGGCGGAAGCCUGAUGCAGCAACGCCGCGUGCGGGAUGACGGCCUUCGGGUUGUAAACCGCUUUCGCCUGUGACGAAGCGUGAGUGACGGUAAUGGGUAAAGAAGCACCGGCUAACUACGUGCCAGCAGCCGCGGUGAUACGUAGGGUGCGAGCGUUGUCCGGAUUUAUUGGGCGUAAAGGGCUCGUAGGUGGUUGAUCGCGUCGGAAGUGUAAUCUUGGGGCUUAACCCUGAGCGUGCUUUCGAUACGGGUUGACUUGAGGAAGGUAGGGGAGAAUGGAAUUCCUGGUGGAGCGGUGGAAUGCGCAGAUAUCAGGAGGAACACCAGUGGCGAAGGCGGUUCUCUGGGCCUUUCCUGACGCUGAGGAGCGAAAGCGUGGGGAGCGAACAGGCUUAGAUACCCUGGUAGUCCACGCUGUAAACGGUGGGUACUAGGUGUGGGGUCCAUUCCACGGGUUCCGUGCCGUAGCUAACGCUUUAAGUACCCCGCCUGGGGAGUACGGCCGCAAGGCUAAAACUCAAAGGAAUUGACGGGGCCCCGCACAAGCGGCGGAGCAUGCGGAUUAAUUCGAUGCAACGCGUAGAACCUUACCUGGGUUUGACAUGGAUCGGGAGUGCUCAGAGAUGGGUGUGCCUCUUUUGGGGUCGGUUCACAGGUGGUGCAUGCCUGUCGUCAGCUCGUGUCGUGAGACGUUGGGUUAAGUCCCGCAACGAGCGCAACCCUUGUUCACUGUUGCCAGCACGUUAUGGUGGGGACUCAGUGGAGACCGCCGGGGUCAACUCGGAGGAAGGUGGGGAUGACGUCAAGCCAUCAUGCCCCUUAUGUCCAGGGCUUCACGCAUGCUACAAUGGCUGGUACAGAGAGUGGCGAGCCUGUGAGGGUGAGCGAAUCUCGGAAAGCCGGUCUCAGUUCGGAUUGGGGUCUGCAACUCGACCUCAUGAAGUCGGAGUCGCUAGUAAUCGCAGAUCAGCAACGCUGCGGUGAAUACGUUCCCGGGGCU
rnacentral:rRNA from 1 species